UUUUUUUUUUUGUUUUUUUGUCUUUUUGCCAUUUCUAGGGCAGCUCCCAUGGCAUAUGGAGGUUCCCAGGCUAGGGGUCUAAUCAGAGCCGUAGCUGCCGGCCUACACCAGAGGCACAGCAAUGCAGGAUCUGAGCCACGCCAGUGUCUACGGCUCCGAAUGGACCCCUAGCCUGCGAAUCUCCAUAUGCCGCAGGAGCGUCCCUAGAAAAAGACAAAAAAAAAAAAAGUAAGAAAGAAAAAGGCAGGCUGGGUUCAACUCACUCAUUUAAGGAACCCGACACCAACCAUCAGCAGCUCCCUGCCGUCAGAGGGCUUCCAUUCCAAUGAAGAAUUUCCUUAUGUCAUUUGCACCAUCAUCAUCUUGUGAGUCUACAAAAAUAAUUCUCUAACAGUAUCAGCCGGGUGCUAUUCGGUGCCAGGCUGCCGGCAACGACUUCAGCGGUCCUCUUGAAAAUGCAUCUGUGGAGGGCAACCCCACGAUCCAGAUUUUAAAGGGGAGGCAACAGGCUUGCAGGGGCUGAGGUGACUCAGCUGGGACAGAAGGGAACUGCAAACAGGCUGAGGGAAUGAGAUCCCUCUUGAUCCACAGAUACUGGCCUCUAAAACUUCAGGAGGAAAAUGAGAACUGGGAGAGCGAGGAGUGCCUUAUUACACACAAGGAUCAUUAGGGCAGAGGGUGAGUUACGCCCAGACUCACUCUUGGCCCAAGAUGGGCAGUCUGCUGGUUCCUCCACACAAGAAAAAGAACCCACGAGCCCUGAGCUGAACUCUUCCAGGCAGGCAACACGUGUGCCCAAAGGACCUGCCGAAAGGACAUGACAUGAUCGAUCCCAAUCAUCCUCGCUUCUCCCGCGGCUUCAAAUUAAGUCAUCUUUUUCGAGCGGCAUGACCGUUUUAAUCUUUAAAGAUAGAGGUGGGGGAGGGGGAGGAACUCUUACAUAUUUUACAAAAUGAAAUAAUCACCCGGAGAAAUAGAGAGACACAGGACAGACUUAGCUGCUUCUGAUCAAAACGUACUUCACUAAUUAAUGGCCACUAGUCUCCGAAGAGUCUCCCCUCGACUAGUUAAUAAUGCCCAUUAUACUUCACUUGAGAUGUGACCAUUUCUGGCGCCCAGACAGAGAGAUGCACGGCAGGAUUCAAAACCUUCGCUUUGGUCUCUCAUUAAAAUUCUGGUCAAAACAGAUUUUUAUUUAUAUGAUGCAUUACAGAAUAUUAUGACAGUCCUAAUAGGAAAGCUGUUCUUCCCUGCCACGGGUUUUCUUUUCGUGUGACGUUACUGUUUCUUUCCACCGGUCUUGUUUUAACACCUGCACGGAGUAUUUCUCUGGCGAGCGUUAGCAAGGAGGGACCGCCAGAAAGCAGAGAAAUGCAUCUGAACUGGAAGGCACGCGGACACACCAUUUACCAGCCCUGCACCGGGUCCCCGAGGAGGGGCACGGCUCACCUUGCCCCUGGGGCCCUGGCACGCAUGCGCGUGCGCGCACACACACACAUUUAACUGCAGGGAGAUAAACGAUAAACAAAAAAAGGCUUGAGUUGAAGUUCUACGCUCCAGCCAGCCAGGCUUUGGCCUCCACUACUAACUUCGGUCUGAAAUCCCCCUGGCCAGACUCAAAUUCUAAGAGGAAAUAGCCAUUAACAAGGAAGACGCUCUCUCUCCAACCUGCCCCAACUCCCAAGCACCACACCCCGCUGAUCCCCCAGCUGCUUCACUGUGGAGCAACCCCAGGACCAUCUGAGAGGUGCCCUGAGGGCUCAGAUGGAGACACACGCCAGACAGUGUCACACAAUAGGGUGACAUCACAGGGCUUGGGCGAAUUACCCAACCAUGGAACUUCAAGGUCCCGAGGCGCUGGCUGGGAUUCUGCUCUUUGCAGCCCGCUGACUGUCCGAGCCACCUCCUCCUCCCCUUCCCUCGCUGCCCCCGCACGACAGGAACUGGGAGAGCGCCCAGCUCAGGAGCCAGAUCGCACUACUUCUCAAUGCACCUGGGCCUUGCGUCCUCACCUAGAAAAUGGAGCUAAUGCUCAGAGGGCAGAAGCGAAGACUGAGUGAGUGAACACACUUCAGGUCCCUACCAGAGUGCCUGGCACACAGACUCAAUCCUCUCCUGGGAUCGCUGUGAGGACCUCGCAAAAAUAAUAAUAAAAACAGCACGUAACACAUACGCUAUGCUAGGUCUUCUUUCAGGCAUUUGACCUUUCCUUGUAUUUAUUGAUUGACUGAUUGAUUGAUUGCUUUUUUUCAGCAUAUGGACGUUCCCAAGCGAAGGGUGGAAAGAGAGCUGCAGCUGCCGGCCUCUGCCACAGGCACAGCAACGCCAGAUCUGAGCCACAUCUACAACCUAUACCACAGCUCACAGCAACACCAGAGCCUUAACCCACUGAGCAAGGCCAGAGAUCAAACCCAUAUCUUCAUGGAUACCAGUCGGGUUCAUUACUGCUGAGCCACAACGGGAACUCCCUACCGUUGUUAAUUGAUUGAAUCUGUACCCGAACUCAAUGCGAUGGGGAAACGGAGGUUCAGAGAAGCUAACUGAUUUGCCCAAAGUCACACAGUAUAACGAGGGGCACAGCUGGCAUCCAAAGACAAGCUGCUCAGCUUGAAAACAACAACAACAAGAAAGGUGGUUACACCAUCAACGAGAGUGAUGGGUCCCCAGGCCCUCCCCCUCUGCCAGGCCCUUUCACCCUUCACGACAACCUUCUGAGGGAGCCAAGUCAUCCCCCCAUUUUAUAGAUGAGCAAACCGAGACAAUUAACUCAGUGCUGCAGGACCUGGGAUUCGGGUGGCAAUAACGGAUAGGAAAGUUCGCUGAAAAAAGCAAGGCGUGUCAUAAAAAGUGUCCUUACAAAACCCCUAGAAUUGAAUGGACAGAUGUCCUUCCCCAACGGGUUGAAUGUUAGCUCACAUCCAAACGUCUGUUAAUUCACAUCCAAUUCAGAAGGCGGGAGGGGUGGGGUAUGCACACACUUUGACGCAUUCAAGAAAUAGUCUGUCUCAUUUUUUAAGUUGAACGCAUCACUGAAAAACCAAACGCCAGAGGAUAUUAAAAUAGAGCACUGGUUUAAAAAAAAAAAAAAAAAAAAAAAAAAAAAAA
rnacentral:lncRNA from 1 species